GGAUUCUUGCACUGUUGCAAGUAUACAUACUUUGGAGAAUAAUGAUUGUUCGGGAUGGUAACAGGAUUGUUCCUGUACUUCAGAGAUAACGGGACAAGUCUGAUACAAAUAUUAAUAGAAGUAUGCAUUUAUGCUGAUUUCCAAAUGAUGAUGUCUUUAAAAAUAUAAAUAUAGUGUUAUGGAUUCUUUCACUGUUGCAAGUUAUACAUACUUCGGAGAAAAAUAAUUGUUCAGGAUGGUAACAGGAUUGUCCCUGUACUUCAGAGAUAACGAGACAAGUCUGGUACAUAUAUUAGUAGAAGUAUGCAUUUACGCUGAUUUCCAAAUGAUGAUGUCUUUAAUAAUAUAAAUAUAGGAAUUUCCAAGAAUCCAGAACGAUGUGUCUAUCCAGAUUUUUUGUGUCUGCAAUGGAUAAUGCUGUGCAUUUUCUGUGUUAAGAACUUACGAUGGAUCGCCUCCAACGCAUACUAUAGGAGUACCUUUAACUGGAACUAACCUAUGAAGCACAAUUAACGAAGAUGAAAUAUCUGAGCAUGAACAUUAUAAUGAUAUAGAAAGCAAAUUGCCUUUGUACCUUUGGGAAGAAAUGAAAUGUCCGUGUCAAUAGUUGAAACUUAGCUUUAGCUAUGUAUGAUUUUCUUUAUAUUGACUUUUUAUCAAAAGUAUUUCUUGUAGAUUACUUUAUAUAAUUUUUUAUCAACUGUUUGAAACUUACAACAGAAGUUUUUAUACAACUUAAGUUGUGAUGAUCAAUAUAAUACAUAGCAAUAAAUAUUAUAUAAUAUGUAGCAAUAAACUUAAGAUUUUGUAAUGAUGUUAGCAAGUUUUUGAAGCUGCUAUUUCUGGAUUAACAGGCUAAUGAUGCUGGCUUCUUUUUGAAUUAUCAAAUUCUACACUUAAUACAAAGCAUAAUGAGUUCGCUAAAAUGUCGCAAA